AAAUUUCUGGAGCUGUAUCAAGCAGAAAACUGCCUGUGGAAUCCCAAAAAUAAAUACCACAAAAAUAAAAAUGUUAUUAAUGAUUCAUGGAAACGUAUUGCUGAUACGAUGGGCAUUCCAGUGCAUGAGUUAAAAAAGAAAAAAGAUAAUCUUCUUAGUACAUUUAGAACGAAUUUAAAAAAAAGAAAUGCAUCCAUUCGGUCAGGGGCGGGAACAGAGGAUGUGUAUCAGCCCAUAUGGAUAUUUUACGAUGUGAUGGCUGCGUUUUUAACAGAUGUUUACGAAUCCACAAGUAUUCUAAAUACAGAGGAAAAAACACAACCUGAUUUGUAUGAAGAGGAUAGCGCUUCUAACGUGCAGGUUAGUGAUAAUAUUCCGGAUGCUAAAAACGAAGACCAUAAUGAUGCCGACAU